AUGAAAACAAUGCACAUAGCUUUAGGCAGUUGAGCGCAUGUUUGUUCGUGAAUAUUCGUCAAAUUUAAUGGUUAGUUUACUUCAUUCAAGUGUUAAAUUUUACAAUGCAG